AUGGAUGAAAGUCUGAACCAGCCAUGCCGCGUGAAGGAUGAAGGCCCUCUGGAUUGUAAACUUCUUUUAUCUGGGACGAAAAAAGGGAAUUCUUUCUCACUUGACGGUACCAGAAGAAUAAGCACCGGCUAACUCCGUGCCAGCAGCCGCGGUAAUACGGAGGGUGCAAGCGUUAUCCGGAAUCACUGGGUUUAAAGGGUGCGUAGGCGGCAUAAUAAGUCAGGUGUGAAAGCUUGCGGCUCAACCGUAAAAUUGCCUUUGAUACUGUUAUGCUUGAAUCAGGUUGAGGUAGGCAGAAUGUGGCAUGUAGCGGUGAAAUGCAUAGAUAUGCCAUAGAAUACCAAUUGCGAAGGCAGCCUGCUGGACCUGUAUUGACGCUGAGGCACGAAAGCGUGGGGAUCAAA
rnacentral:rRNA from 1 species